UGGAUUUGAGAGGAAAAAAAACAUACAAUAUAUUUUCCAGGGGGCCCACAGAUUUUCUUCCACUAGAAAUACCCUCACAAGUCAUCUUCUUCAGAGGGACAAUCUUCAUAUUCACGCACCAGCUCACAGAAACAAUACUAAUACACACACCAGUGAGAGAGAGAUAUAGACGCACACCCGCAGAGAGAAUCAUAGGAGAAAGAGAGAAUCGGGAGAGAGUGAAUAAAAAAGGGGUUGAAUAGUGGUCGGUUGGCGUGAACAGUAAACGUUGAACGGAGUAGGGGGAAGAACAGUUUUUCCCGGUGAGCUUGUCACUGGAAUAGUGCCUCAUCGUAGAGUCCGUCCACUCCUCCCUAAAACUCAAUCAAAACCAGCUUCAAACCCCCUAAAAUUAUGACGCUAGUGCCCGACUACUCCGCCGCCACCGCUGUUACUAUUUCGGCAAUGAAUUUUUCGCCUGGAAUGAGCCAAAUCGAUCAAAAUCGUCCCAAAAAUAUUGAGAAAAUAGUGAGUUCACCUUGGGUUUUCGACAGUUAAGUUAGAGGUCUGUUUGUGAUUUGGUAUUGGAAAAAAAAGGAACAAAGGGGAUAUAUCGAAGUUGGAGUUGUUCGUUUGGUGAGGCUCGAUCUGAGAUUAUGGACGCGAUCCAAUCGAAAGGAGCAACUUUAAUCGAAAGCAACAUUUGAGGUUCAAUUCUAUCUUCUCUAUUUUUUUUGUAGUUUUUAACAUAAUUAUGAAUGAUUUAUGUGUUUGGCAUGUUUGAAUCUUCGUUAUGUGUGGGUUGAUGUUGGAUUUGGAUAUGAAAACUUGAUCGGUGGAUUGUAUAUUGAAUUGGUUUAAUCGUGUUAAAAAAGUUGAGGCGCGAAUUGAAAAUUUACUAAAGUGAAUUAGGAUUAAUUUUGAUUUAUUGUUAUUUUGAUUCAUUGACGCCAUCGAUCAUGAUAGUGCCAUGAUAGGUCGAGUUAGGUAGGCAAAAGUAGGCUGGGUAGGCAAAGUUGAGGACCUGUGAUUGUUGAAAUGAUGAAAUAUUUGUGGAGUGGUUUUGAUUUAUGCACUGAGAUCUAUUGUAUUCAUUUGGCCGGGGAAUGCCCCGAGGGAUUUGUAUUGAUUCACCGGGGAAUGCCCCGACGUAUCAUGUAUUCGGAGGACGUCCGUGAUGAAGGCCCGAAGCAUCGGGUAAGGCAUUGGACAUAGUUUAGGAUUAGUGUAGGUUAGCGUAGGUUUAUUUUUCAGUACCUUUUUUAUCAUUUCGGGUUGUAAUAAUUGGACUGGACAUUAUUAUUUUGAUUUUUGGAUUGUUGUUUGAUGUUUGUUUAUGUGCUUUGUGUGGUUUAUAUAUUUGUGGUGUCUAAUUAGCCGAUACUCUCCACCAAGAGACCAUGGUCGAACCACGGGACCGAGGGGUGCCUAACACCUUCCCCUCGGUCAACAAAAUUCCUUAGUUGAAACCUCUGUUCGCGGAUCAGUUUUACAGAGUCAAAAUCGUUUUGAAAAGGAUUUUCCAAAGGUGACUUGGCACACCGGAUUAUGCCAAGUGGUGACUCUGAGUUUUGAAUAUAAAUAAUUCUUUUCGAAAUAAAUUUUUAUUUUUUGUCACUUUGAUAAUAAAAAUCCUUUCAAACUUAAAACGAAAUCUUUUUUGGGUAAAAAAAGGGUGUGACAGCUCUGGCGACUCUGCUGGGGACUUUUUUUUAGAAUUCAAGCUUAUUUUGGAGUUGUAUCGACUUAGUUUGGCACUAUAGGUAUAUAGACAUUUUGUUUGUGUUGUUUUGUGUUAUUGUUUAUCAUUGUUGAGUGCCUACGUGCUCUUUGUUUACAAUUUUUAUUUUAUGUGUUACCGUUUUAUAUCUGGCAUCAUGUGUAUAACCCGAGCCAUUCUUUCUGCAACAAGUCUAUAGUAUACGCUAUGUACACGACCUCUAGUUGAGUCACCUUUAUCUUAGGGGGGAGUCUUCGACUGGUAUGGAGUGGGUGGAAAGCUAAAACAACCACUAUCGACCAUAUGCUCUCCCGAACAGCCUUGUUAGUGAAUCCCAGCGUAGGUCAGCUUUUAGGUCAUGCUUAUCUGCAUCAUAUUGAGACCUAGCGGGACUCACUUGGUCUUUUGUAGGAGACUCACCUCUAAGGCAUCCCUACGUGCUAAAUGUUACAUCUUUGAGGGUAACGUGGUCAUUUGACGGACUAAUUUAAGGGAAAACAUGUGCUAGAGGUAAAGUGCGUAGACAAGAAAUCAUUUGAAAAAAAAAGGAGUUUCGUAGCUUUUAGUGUUCUUUAUGACUUUUGUUUCCCACAAUUCAAAAAUUCAAAAAGAUUUCUUUAUUUUCUGCACUCAUUUUUUUAAAAACCAAAACAUCAAAAAGAUUUCUCACUUUGUCUCCUUUAGCAUGCAUUCAUAAUUAGAAAUUUUCAAAAAAAAAAAAAAUUAGCAGUUUUUAUAAAAGAAAUUGAAAAAUGGUGAAAGAUUUGUACAUUUCAUAUAGUGAAAAUGUCAAAAAGAUUUUCCUUCAUAAUUGUUGGUGUCAGUUUAGCUGAAGUAUCUAAUUAAAAACCCAAAAAUAUUUUAUUCAUUUGUCUUUGGUUGUGUCUCUUAAGUUAGGGUCAAUUUGUUAGACUAUCGUUAAUUGUACAAUCUGGACGAACUACGCACCCGUGAUUCUGCUCUCUCCGGAGUGAGAUACAUAGGUAACCUAUUUUGGGUUGGGGAUCUUAUUUCAAAAAUUCAAAAAAAGAUUUUCUUCACUCUUCAUUUAGAGUAGGUGUUUCAUGUACAUCUUUAAAAGAAAACAACAAAAAAAUAUUUCCCUUUAAUAGGUUCAGGUUUCAUUUUCAUAUGAAAUUCAAAAUCAAAAAUCAAAAAAUAUUUUUUUCGGUAAUCAUAGAUUUCAUUUUGUACAGAAAUCUGAAAAAUUCAAAAAGAUUUUCUUCACUCUUCACUUAGAGUAGGUGUUUCAUAUACAUCUCUAAAAAACUACAAAAAGAUUUUUCUUUAAUAGUUUGAAGUUUCAUUUUCCUAUGAAAUUCAAAAUCGAAAACCCUAAAAGAUUUUUAUUUGGUAAUCAUGGGUUUCAUUUUGUAUAGGGAUGUUAAGACUAAAAAAUGCAAAAAAAGAUUUUCGUCAAUUCUUUUGACAAUUUGUUAUUUUCUUUUCUUCUUAAAGUUUCAAAAAGAAAACAAAGAGUUCAAUUGGCCGUUUUGGCACGACUUAACGAACUACGCACACCUGAUUCUCCUCUCUCGGUGGUGAGAUACGUAGGUGCCCUUCUUGGGUUCGGUGAUCUUUUCAAGAAAAAAAAGGGAGAGAGAGGUUUUGAAAAAUGUUGAACUCUAACAUAUUUGUUGCCUCUUGUUCAGUUAGUUUAAGGUGGUUGGUUUGUGGCUUACUGGUUGGUCCUCCAUAUCACACCAAAUCCAAGGAGGGGUUAGUUGUGUCCAACAAGGAUAUAGAAAGUGGCAUCAUGGAUGAAACAAAGAUUCAGGAAAUUGAGAGUUUAAAGAAAGAGAAUUUGAGACUGAGACAACAAGUGAUGGAAAUAUACCGAGCUUGGACCAGUGGGCUGCCUCCACCUCUGUUUCCCACUUUUGGCCCUGCAAAUACCUUGAGUCUUCCACCAAAAUCGUAAAGUCAGUUUCUGUCUUCUUAUCCACAAUGGCAUGCUCCUGUCCCUCAACAUCGUCCUCGACCCCCACGAAUUUACCAAGGAACCUCUAAAUCCAAGUUUCAUCUAAGGCUAGAGUUAGUGUUGUAAAACAUUUCAUAAGUGAUCUUUAUCGUGCAAUUUUGUAUUGCAUGCUAUGUACUAGCAUUUUCAAAAAUUGAUAUGACGAAGGCAUUUCAUUCUGCUUUCCAAAUAUUGUGUCAUCCUUUGUUUACCCCAUUUGGGCCUUAGUGUUAUUUUCUUUUAUACCCCUCUUUUGGAAUCAAGAUAAAGUCAACAAAAUCCAAAAAAAGUGUCGAAAAAGAAAAAAAAGAUGAGUGUCAAGAAAAAUAAAGUCAGAAAAGUCCCAAAGAUAAAAAGAGUCGACAAAAGAAAAAAAAUAGAAUCAAGUGAAAGAACAAGUUGCCAGAACUACGCAUGACUUGAUUCUCCUCUCUCGAGGGUGAGAUACGUAGGCUGCCUUACUCAGGGCUCGGUCCAACCAAAUAAAUAAUUUAGAAUUGCCCAGUCAAAAAUUGGGGCUUGAGUUAAUCCUCAUUGUUUGAGUCGAUUCCAAAAGUUGUAAGUCCUACCCCACUUUUAGUAUUGUUUGGGCCCCAUGCCAUCCUUUAUUUUCAACCCUAUCCAAAAGCCAAGUUACAAUCAAAGAAAGACCUUCAGAUCAAUCUUUGAGAAUGUUAAGGCUAAGUAUGCAAUGGAUGUGAUGACACAUUUUGAGAACUACUCGUCUUCCUCAGCAUAAAAAAUCAGGAGAGAAAUAAAAAUGAGAGAGUUUUAUUGGUGAAAACCCUCACGGGCACCAUAAGGAGAUGGUAAAUUAAGAAAGAUAAAAAUGAGAGAGUUUUAUUAGUGAAAACCCUCACAGACACCAUAAGGCGAUGGUGAGUUGAGAGAAAAAUGAGAGAGGCUUGUUUGAGAAAACCCUUCAAGGUGCCACUAGCCGAAUGAGGUCUCCGAAUGCAAUGGGUCUAAGUAAGAAACUCAGUUUCAGGGCCAUUAACUCAACAACAAUUGGUAGAAAGUUUGGAUGAAAAGAUCAGGCUGCUUAAUCCAAAAUGCACAGUAUAAUUAUUAGAGUUGACUGUCAUUUUUAGAUUAAUUUAUUGUUUCUUUGUUACAAAUGAGGAUAUUCAUUUUCUUUCCUUUCUUUUCUUUAUUUUUAUUUUAUCUUUCUUGAGUCAGUUAUCCAAAUAAAAAAAUUGUCUUUCUUUUUUUUCUUUUCUUGUCUUUGAGUCAAGUCCAUGUCAAAACAAGUGAGAAAAGAUUUUAAAACUGGCUAUCAGCUUCUUCAAUUGCACAAAGCAAGACAAAAGGGACAGCACAUGCAAAAGACAUGAUUGUGAGCCGAAAUAAGGCAUACAAAAAUUGUGUCAACAGACAAGUUUGGGAACUCAUGAAAAUACCAAGGUUCAAAGGGUUUAUAUGAUGAGCAUGACGAAGCAGAGAUAUCAUUUUAUUUCAGAGUCACUUUUAAUAAACUGAAUUUAGGUCAAUGAUGCAGCAAGUCAAUGAUAAAUGCUAAUGGUUGGAAGCAAGGUUAAAUGUGAUGGGGCAAGAGCGAUCGUCGCGAAAGCUAAAGCCACAAACCAGCCACCGUGUUUUAAACUCACAAGUUUUCUUUGAUGAAAUAGGAAACAUAUUACCUUCAAAGCAAGGACGUCAGAGCAUAAAUAUCAAGGCUUUCAAUGCCUCACGUUUAAAUAUGCACGAAGAAAUGUUGCUGCACAGGUUUGGUAAUCAAAUCAUUGUAAAAUUCAUCAUCUUAUAUCCCUCGGAGACACAUUUUCUUGUCCAGGGAUUUCAUUUUUCAUUUGCUGGGUGAUACACUUCUUAAAUUGAUCCUUCACUCCUAAAAGACGUACCUUUUAGUCGAGUCAUCCCCUUUGACCCCAAAAGACGUACCUUUUAGUAGAGUCAUUUCCUUUGAUUCCUAUAAGACAUACCUUUUACUCGAAUCAUUCCCGCUUGACUCCUAGAAGACGUACCUUUUAGUCGAGUCAUUCCCCUUAACCCCUAGAAGACGUACCUUUUAGUCGAUUCAUUCCUUUGAUUCCUAUAAGACGUACCUUUUAGUCGAGUCAUUCCUCUUGACCCCUAGAAGAAGUACCUUUUAGUAGAGUCAUUUCCUAUGAUUCCUAUAAGACGUACCUUUUAGUCGAGUCAUUCCUCUUGAGGCCUUGACCCCUAGAAGACGUACCUUUUAGUUGAGUCAUAUCCCUUGAUUCCUAUAAGAUGUACCUUUUAGUCGAGUCAUUCCCCUUGAGUCCUUGACCCCUAGAAGACGUACCUUUUAGUUGGGUCAUAUCCCUUGAUUCCUAUAAGACGUACCUUUUAGUCGAGUCAUUUCCUUUGAUUCCUAUAAGACGUACCUUUUACUUGAGUCAUCACCCCUUGAUUCCUAUAAGACGUACCUUCUAGUCGAGUCAUUCCCUUGAUUCCUAUAAGACGUACCUUUUAGUCGAGUCAAUUUCUUUGAUUCCUAUAAGACGUACCUUAUAGUCGAGUCAUUCUCCUUGAUUCCUAUAAUGAUGUGACUUUCACAAAAGUCCUUUGAUAAUAAACUGGGGCAAAAUUUAAUUCUUAUUUUUGGAACUUUACUUUUCUGGCAAACAAAAUUUCUCUUUAUGAAAAACUUUGUUUGGGAUAAUUUUCUUGUUAGUUUUGAUAUGAUUUCAGAAGCCCGCCUGAAGAACAGGGUGAUGAGAUAGAAAGUCAGGAGCCCACCUGAAGAACAGGGAUGAUGAAAUGGCAAGUCAGGAACCCGCCUGAAGAAUAGGGUGAUUAAAUAGUAAGUCAGGAGCCCUCCUGAAGAAUAGGGCGGAUAAAUGGAAAAUCUAGAACAAGGUGAAAAAAAUCUGAAAAAACAAGCAAAAAGGUGAAGCAAUUGAAAGUCAAGCAACAAGUUGAAUAAAUUGCAAAUCAGGAGCCCACCUGAAGAAUAGUGUGAUGAAACUUAAGUCAAGAGUCCAAAAGAAGAUGCAUAGAUAGAAUUUCUGUAAUUUUAUUUAUGUUUUUAACUCGUAAUUUUCAUUUUGAUGUAAUGAUAGAGCUGUGGACCGAAACCUUGAUGGAACCUCACUCGACUCUCCAACUCGGUAUAGUCCUUCUCUUUCAAAUAUUUUGAAAUACUGGUCCCUUGAUUCCUCCAUAACUUCGGUAGAUAGGUUGUCCUAAGUCAGGA
rnacentral:lncRNA from 1 species